AGUGAACGUUGGCGGCGUGGAUUAGGCAUGCAAGUCGAGCGAUCGUAGCAAUACGGGAGCGGCAAACGGGGUAGGAAUACAUCGGAACGUACCUUUUGGUUGAGAAUAGCGUUGGGAAACUGACGGUAAUACUCAAUAAAGUCGAGAGACCAAAGGUUUACUGCCGGAAGAGCGGCCGAUGCGAUAUUAGGUAGUUGGUGGGGUAAUGGCCUACCAAGCCUGAGAUGUCUAGGGGGUGUGAGAGCAUGGCCCCCACCACUGGAACUGAGAUACUGCCCAGACACCUACGGGUGGCUGCAGUCGAGGAUCUUCGUCAAUGGGCGAAAGCCUGAACGAGCGACGCCGCGUGCGGGAUGAAGGCCCUUGGGUUGUAAACCGCUGUCGAGGGGGAUGAAACCGUAAGGUUGACAGAGCCCCAGAGGAAGCACGGGCUAAGUUCGUGCCAGCAGCCGCGGUAAU
rnacentral:rRNA from 1 species